rnacentral:tRNA from 4 species
GCACCUGUGGCGGAACUGGCAGACGCGCUAGAUUUAGGUUCUAGUUUCGAGAGGAGUGCAGGUUCAAUUCCUGUCAGGUGCACCA